GAGAGAGGCCUGUAGCAGCAGAAUCUGCUAAAUUCUGCACCCGCAGUUAAAAUCUGCGGCUCACUCG
rnacentral:tRNA from 1 species